rnacentral:rRNA from 1 species
GAUGAACGCUGGCGGCGUGCUUAACACAUGCAAGUCGAACGGUGAAGGCGGAGCUUGCUCUGCUGGAUCAGUGGCGAACGGGUGAGUAACACGUGAGCAAUCUGCCCCUGACUCUGGGAUAAGCGCUGGAAACGGCGUCUAAUACUGGAUACGAGCUGCGAAGGCAUCUUCAGCAGCUGGAAAGAACUUCGGUCAGGGAUGAGCUCGCGGCCUAUCAGCUUGUUGGUGAGGUAACGGCUCACCAAGGCGUCGACGGGUAGCCGGCCUGAGAGGGUGACCGGCCACACUGGGACUGAGACACGGCCCAGACUCCUACGGGAGGCAGCAGUGGGGAAUAUUGCACAAUGGGCGAAAGCCUGAUGCAGCAACGCCGCGUGAGGGAAGACGGCCUUCGGGUUGUAAACCUCUUUUAGCAGGGAAGAAGCGAAAGUGACGGUACCUGCAGAAAAAGCGCCGGCUAACUACGUG